UGCUAGCUCAUGGCCCGGUUGUACCAAGGCUGUUGCUGCUGCUGCUGCUGCUGCUGCUGCUGCUGCUGCUGCUUCAUGUUAAGAGUUUCCAAUGAGAGAGAUUUGUUCUUCUUCCUGUUUUCCCUUUGAGUUCCCCCAGAACCAGUCCCUGCUGCGGUAGCCAAAAUCACAUUCUUCACUUUGUCACCAUCAAAAUCAAAUUACCUAGCAAGCAGGUGCUGACAAGGCCUGUCACUACACAAAGUUAAUUAAAAAAAGAAAAAAAGAAAGAAAGAAAAGCAUGGCAUUCAAGAUUCCUUCACAGAAAUCUGUGUUGGGGCAGGAAAAUGCUCCGUGAAUUAUGUCCUCAUGAAGUCACCAUCUGGCCGAUAUUCCUCUCGCGGCUCAGAAUACCAAAGCCAUCCUUCAGCACAGAUGCUGGGCCAGAUCAGCGCGAGCAAGUGACCGCCGUCAUAAACCCACGUGCCAUCAAGGGUGGCCUCAGAACCGUGAACUUCUCUGCCUGCUGACUUUCUCCAGCCUGGAGCAGUGAUGUGGGAUCCUCUGAGCGUCAUGCCCUUCAGAUUCUUCAGGGUGGAUGCUCCAAAGCACUAAGAACUCUCUCUCCUUAGAUUCCUGUCUCUGCGUAACCUUACUGCGCUAUUAUGCCAGCAAGAUCCAGUCCAAUAAUUCAGUUAUAUUAAAGACCUCUUUGUUGGACUGAAUGGUUCUGUGCCCACCCUAUCCCUCAAAUUCAUAUGUUGAUGCCCUAACCCCCAGCGUGAUGGUAUUUGGAGAUGGGGGCCUUCUGGCAGUAAUUAGGGCUAGAUGAGGUCAUAAAUGUGGGCCUCAUGUUGCACUUAGUAACUUCAGAAGGAGAGGAACAGUUAGAUCACUGCUUGCCCUCUCUGCUAUGUGAGGUCACAGAAGGUGACUGUCCGUGAGCCUGGAAGAGAACCCUCACCAGGAAUGGAAUCUGCAGGCACCUGGACCUUGGGCUCCCAGCCUCCA